rnacentral:lncRNA from 1 species
AGACCUACUGGCACCCCCGGAUCUGCUGGUACCCCAGGACCUGCUGGUACCCCAGGACCUGCUGACUCCCCCAGACCUGCCGGCACCCCCAAACCUGCCGGUACCCCAGGACCUGCUGGCUCCCAGGACCUACCGGCAUCACCAGAUCUGCCGGCACCCCUGGACCUCCCAGUACCCCAGGACCUGCCUGUACCCCAGGACCUGCCAGCUCCUCAGGACCUGUUGGUACUCCUGGACCUGCCGGUUCCCCAGGACCUGUCAGUACCCCCAGACCUCCCAGUACCCCAGGACCUGCCGGCACCCCUGGACCUGCCUGUACCCCAGGACCUGCCAGCUCCUCAGGACAUGUCAGUACCCCUGGACCUGCUCAUUCCCCAGGACCUGACUGUACCCCAGAACCUACCCGGUACCCGGACCUGCCAGGACCCCCGUACUUGCCCUGCACCCCUGGACCUGCCGGCCCCCCAGGACCUGCCAGCACCCCCAGAUCUGCCUGUACCCCCGGACCUGCCUGCUCCCCCGGACUUGCCGGCUCCUCAGGACAUGCCGGUUCCCCAGGACCUGCCCUGCACCCCGGACCUGCCGGCUCCCCCCAGAUCUGCCGGCUCCCUAGGACCUGCCCUGCACCUCAGGACCUGCCUGCACCCCCGGACCUCCCCUACACCCCAGGACCUCCCGGCUCCCUGAACCUGCCCUGCACCCGGGACCUGCCGGUACCGCAGGAUCUGCCGGCUCCCCAGGAGCUGCCCUGCACCCAGGACCUGCCCUGCAUCCCCGGACCUGCCUGCAUCCCCGGACCUGCCUGCACCCCAGGGCUUGCCUUGCACCCCAGGACCUGCCCUGCACCCCAGGACCUGCCUUGCACCCCAGGACCUGCCCUGCACCCCCGUACCUGCGUGCACCCCAGGACCUGCCUGCCCUGCACACACCCCUUUAGUCGCCCGGAGUCCCGGAGCGAACACCGCCGGCUGCGCUUCUCCUCCGCGAGCGGGUCCCCGACAGCUCGGAGGCUGCGGGCCCGGGGGCUCGGCGGGUCGCGCGUGGCCUCGCCGCAG